rnacentral:rRNA from 1 species
GAUGAACGCUGGCGGCGUGCCUAAUACAUGCAAGUCGAGCGAACAGACGAGGAGCUUGCUCCUCUGACGUUAGCGGCGGACGGGUGAGUAACACGUGGAUAACCUACCUAUAAGACUGGGAUAACUUCGGGAAACCGGAUCUAAUACCGGAUAAUAUAUUGCUCCGCAUGGUUCAUUAGUUAAAGACGGUUUUGCUGUCACUUAUAGAUGGAUCCGCGCCGCAUUAUCUAGUUGGUAAGGUAACGGCUUACCAAGGCAACGAUGCGUAGCCGACCUGAGAGGGUGAUCGGCCACACUGGAACUGAGACACGGUCCAGACUCCUACGGGAGGCAGCAGUAGGGAAUCUUCCGCAAUGGGCGAAAGCCUGACGGAGCAACGCCGAGUGAGUGAUGAAGGUGUUCGGAUCGUAAAACUCUGUUAUUAGGGAAGAACAAAUGUGUAAGUAAAUAUGGACGUAUUGACGGUACCUAAUCAGAAAGCCACGGCUAACUACGUG